rnacentral:lncRNA from 1 species
AUGUUCCCUCGGUCUUUGCCUCUUUUUUUUAUUUAUUUAUUUUUUUUAUGGCUCCCCUCUCUCCGCAUCUCGCGGAGAUGGAGGAGAAGCGUCAGCAUCUUCCCCCCCACGCGCUCCCUCUCUGCCGUCUGUUCCUCUCCCGGCUCCCCCUCUCCCUCUCUCUCUCUCCUUCCCUCAUCUGUCUCCUCGCUCUCCUUCCUCCACUCUUACCUUUAUGCUAUUCCCUUCCUCCCAAAGUUAGCAGAGAAGCGGGAGGGUGGGGGCUGCCUGCGCCGGGCUUUAACUCCUUCCUCGCCCUCUCGCGGCUCUCCCCUUCUCGCCUGCGCUGGGUGCUGGGUGCUGGGUGCUGGCUGUGGGGCUCCCGUGGGUCCCCUGGAGGUCCAGGAGGUGCCUGCAGGGGUUGCAGCGGGCUGGAAGCAGCCUCAAUCCCCGUGCCAGGAGCUGAGGGCUGCCCCUGGCACCUCCACCCUGGCACCCGUGGGUGCGGAGCUCUCUGCGCGCCCCUUCCCUGCGCCACCGGCACCCGACGGGGCUGGGCUGGGUGCCCCAGGAGGGUGCCCCGCAUCCCUCAGCAUCGCGGUGCUGCAGGUCCAAGGAGGUGUGACGGCUUCUGCAGCGCCUCUGUCACCUCCACGCCCAGCCCUUGGCGAGGGAGAAGGCGUUUGGGAGCCCCGGGGGGGUGGCAGAGCUCCCCAGCCCCCUGUGCCCCAACUCCAAACGUGGUCAAAUACUCGCUGGGAUGUCUCCCAGCCCCGAGGGAACCCAUCCCUGCCCGCUCAGGGACUUGGGUUGCUCCUUGCAGUGCUGCGGCGAGCCAAAGGAGGUGGUUUUGCAGCCACAGGCCCAUGGGGACAUCGGUGCCGGGGGGAGAUGGGUCUGAGCUCGCGGCACUGCUGCUGCCUUGGAGCGGACACGGUCUCCGUGUCGCUGGCAUUUCAACAGGGUGCUGUGUGGCAGUUCCAGUCGUGCCCAGAAAUCAGGUUUUUGUGCCAUAACACCAUUAACAGAGCGCUUCUAGCUCGGUUCUGGACUUCUAUUAACCCCGAUCCCUGUGCAAAAGCCCCUUUUUCUGUAGAGCCCGGCUAA